UGGCUCCCUAUGUCUCUGUUUAACAACUGCCUUGGUUUUAGCACUGUUGUUUGGUAUUAAUAACUAGUAAAUUUAACUUCUUGUAUGUUUGGAGCUAAGCUAACACAGAGGGAUGCCAUUAAUCAAAGGAGGAGAGGAGGAUUAAAUCAAGAAAGAUAAAGCUAACACAGAUGGUAGCCAUUAAUCAAAGGAGGAGAUAAAGAAAAAGGCAAAUUUCACCCCUUUCUAUCUAUUUAAGCUAACACAGAUGGAUACCAUUAAUCAAAAGAGGAGAGGAGGAUUAAAUCAAUAAAGAGAAAG